rnacentral:rRNA from 1 species
UUUUUCCUACGGGAGGCAGCAGUGGGGAAUAUUGCACAAUGGGGGAGACCCUGAUGCAGCGACGCCGCGUGAGUGAAGAAGUAUUUCGGUAUGUAAAGCUCUAUCAGCAGGGAAGAACAUGACGGUACCUGACUAAGAAGCCCCGGCUAACUACGUGCCAGCAGCCGCGGUAAUACGUAGGGGGCAAGCGUUAUCCGGAUUUACUGGGUGUAAAGGGAGCGUAGACGGCAGCGCAAGCCUGGAGUGAAAGGAUGGGGCUCAACCCCAUGACUGCCCUGGGAACUGCGCAGCUAGAGUGCCGGAGG